rnacentral:miRNA from 1 species
AGGCCUGGCGAAGUGCAUUG